CUCGCGCCAGCCCCAGUCGCCCCGGCCCGCGAGUGGGGCUGCGCUCGCGGCUGCUGUCUCGCUCCAGUCAGGGCUGGGGCUCACCCUGCGAGUCCGGGAGACUAAAGCGCCGCGUAAACACAGGAAGCAGGCGAGGGACCCGAGUUAGACCUUGAGUAGGGAGGGAGAGGGGGGCGACAGUCUGGACUGGGAGACAGCUUUCUGGGAGCCCUGUCCCCUCCCCGGAGAAUGCAAAUUCCGGAGGGAGGUGAGUUUCCACAAGAACCUUAUCCCAGAGACAUUGUGACCCUGGCUUCUUCAGCCGCCACUCCGGGGACAGCACUAGGGAGCCUGUGGAGGGAGGGUCGGUAGUGGGCUAGGUAGUGAAAGUGGGGUGAGGACGUGGGAAGACGGCUGGCUAAGAGCUGGGGUGCUAAAAGGAAAAAAGUGCUGAGAGGAAGGAGAUGAGAAGAGACACCUUGGGGGUCAGGCAAGCCCUGGGAAAGCGUCCGGAGUUGGGCGGCUGUAGGCUGGAGGCAUAACUUGGAUUUGGAGAAAGAGUGCCCUCCGUGUAGGGGACUGCUGGUGGGCACAGUGUUUUAGGGUGAAUGAAAACAGAGAGGAUGGCGAGGGAAGACGGGGAUAUGGGGUGCCUGACUUGGUGCCGGACACUGCGACUCCUCUUCUUUCCCCCUAAAGCCCUCGAUGUCAGCAGGAGUCCGGGACAAUCCAAUACCAGGCGGGGCGCAGCGGAGGCUGGCAGGCACGCCCUGGGAGGCAGGCAAGUUGAUUCCAAGGACGAGUCACCCUCAACCUCUUUUAGCCCACAACUGGGUGGAUCAAGGCAGGAGCCAACACUUUUUUCCCUAACUCUGUUUAGGCGGUGUUGGACUAAGAAAACAGCAUCCGGUGCGUCCCGGGACCACAAGGUGGCCGUGCACCGUCGAGGUUACUAAACACUGUCUCCUUGGCAAAAGAAAUAAUAGCAAUCAUUUAAUGGGAGGGGAAGAAAGCCAGACGGCGACAGCACACUUUCCCUGGUGAUCUUAGGUUCUCAUAAGCACACGGGACAACACCGGGUGACAGAGAAGGAGGUGUCCUGUGAAUGGAACUGCAGCCCUCACCCAACCAUCCUUGGAGCUCUUCCAUGGAAACAUCAGUGACUGUAGGCAAAAAAUGUCCCCGUUUUAUUUUGCAUGCUCCUGUUUUAUUUUGAAUCCUCAUACCCCACCCCAGAGAGACAACAGGGACCCCUAAUUUGUGUGGUUGAGGCUUUCAGGAGAUCCAGUGGAGGACAGACUCAAGGAUCAGAUCAGCUCUCCCACCCAACAUUCCAGGGAUUUUGUUUUUCCAGGCUCCCUCCUCUAUAUACUCCCCCCUUCCCUGUCACCUCCAGUCUGGUGACCCAGAGGGCUGUGUGUGACUCACUGUGCAUUCAAACCCUAAGGCACUGCCUCACUGCAGAGGAAGAUUGUACAGUCCCUUCAUUCCCAGGAUAAGUGAGAAUGAUGUUGUUAGCAGUAAGAAAUGUG
rnacentral:lncRNA from 1 species